UGAUAUUAAGAUAUUAGUCAUGUAAUGUAUUAAUAAUAAUUUUGUUUAUACAUAUAAAUAAGUUUAAAAAUAUAAUUUGAUAAGUAUUGCAAUUUUAUUAAUAACUAAAUAUUAAAUAUUAAUGACUAGAGAUCUAAAAGAAAUGGUGAAUAACGCCAUACUGUAUUGGAUCCCCUUUUGUUUGAUCCUCACCAACAGUGGAACAAGAUAGAUGCUCCAGUCUCUGAUUGGAAGAUACAGAACAGAAAUGUAAACGUUUGUAAGUGUGACAGACAUUUGCACUGAAGAUGUUUUGGGAACAACAAGCUGUUUCGUUUUAUCAAAAUAACUGUUAUCUGAUGUUGUUUCUAUCCGUAUUCAUCAUUUUCAAGGAAAAUUUUAUCUUCACAUAGGCUAUUGUGUUCGACUGCAGCCAUGCUAAAUGCACUGUGUCACGGAUGUGUAACAAGAGACGAUCGCUCUUUUUUUUUUUUUUUUCUUUUCUUCCCGUGAAGUUAGACGGAGCCGCUGCUUUGAAAUUGGCACGCGGGAUGAUUUUAGCUAUUCAAAGCCUGGCGGGAAGGAAGGAAAGUACGUUGCGUUCGACUCGCUGGCGCCAGCGUGACAAAAACUUUUCAUAAUCGGCUGUGUCUCCCCUCGUUUUUGACCUUCUGACAUCGAUGACUAGAAAAUCCUCGAAUUCCUGAUGUUUCCUAAUCUUUCUUCAUGAAUAAUACCUGAAUAACAAUGAAAUGAGGAUACAUCAUUAAAAUUUCUUCAAUGAACCUUCCAAGAAGGAUCCUUCUUUAUCACAAAUUUGUGAGGACCCUUUAGAACCUAAUUUAUAAAGAAAUGGCUUUAAUGAAUGGUCCCACCAUUCAAACUUUCAUUUCAUACUUUAUAAAAGUUAGUUUCCAAUUUUUGCUUUUUUUUUAUUAAAUAUUAUUGACUAUUUUAAAAAAAAAGAAACUAAUGAAAAAUGUAAUAUAAAUAAGUAUUGAUUAAAUAAUAAAAAUGAUUAA